UGGGGGAUAUUGCACAAUGGGCGAAAGCCUGAUGCAGCAACGCCGCGUGAGGGAAGACGGUCUUCGGAUUGUAAACCUUUAGCUUUGGGGAAGAAACAAAUGACGGUACCCAAAGGGGCAGCCACGGCUAACUACGUGCCAGUAGCCGCGGUAAUACGUAGGUGGCAAGCGUUGUCCGGAAUGACUGGGUGUAAAGGGAGCGCAGGCGGGGAGAGAAGUCAGCUGUGAAAACUAUGGGCUUAACCCAUAGAUUGCAGUUGAAACUGUGUUGCUUGAGUGGAGUAGAGGUAGGCGGAAUUCCGAGUGUAGCGGUGAAAUGCGUAGAUAUUCGGAGGAACACCAGUGGCGAAGGCGGCCUACUGGGCUCUAACUGACGCUGAGGCUCGAAAGUGUGGGGAGCAAACA
rnacentral:rRNA from 1 species